CCCGUGGACCACAACAGCCUUUAAGCUCUGCACGUUCCCACCUGAGCCGGUAAUCCCAUGCAAGAAACCUUUUAAAGUGGAUGUUAUUGGUGGAAAACGGUAUUCAUGGUGCACAUGUGGAUACAGCAAAAAGCAGAAGUUUUCUUUUUCAGCCUUACUGUGAUGGAGCCCACAAAUUAAAAGCACCAACCUUCACUCCUCUUCGUUUUUUCCCUGACAAAGACAUGACAAUAUAUUUAUGUGGCUGUAAAUACACCAAUAACCCACCAUACUGUGAUGGCACGCACAAG